rnacentral:rRNA from 1 species
AGAGUUUGAUCCUGGCUCAGAGCGAACGCUGGCGGCAGGCCUAACACAUGCAAGUCGAACGGAUCCUUCGGGAUUAGUGGCGGACGGGUGAGUAACACGUGGGAACGUGCCCUUUGGUUCGGAACAACUCAGGGAAACUUGAGCUAAUACCGGAUGUGCCCUUCGGGGGAAAGAUUUAUCGCCAUUGGAGCGGCCCGCGUCUGAUUAGCUAGUUGGUGAGGUAAAGGCUCACCAAGGCGACGAUCAGUAGCUGGUCUGAGAGGAUGAUCAGCCACAUUGGGACUGAGACACGGCCCAAACUCCUACGGGAGGCAGCAGUGGGGAAUCUUGCGCAAUGGGCGAAAGCCUGACGCAGCCAUGCCGCGUGAAUGAUGAAGGUCUUAGGAUUGUAAAAUUCUUUCACCGGGGACGAUAAUGACGGUACCCGGAGAAGAAGCCCCGGCUAACUUCGUGCCAGCAGCCGCGGUAAUACGAAGGGGGCUAGCGUUGCUCGGAAUUACUGGGCGUAAAGGGAGCGUAGGCGGACUGUUUAGUCAGAGGUGAAAGCCCAGGGCUCAACCUUGGAAUUGCCUUUGAUACUGGCAGUCUUGAGUACGGAAGAGGUAUGUGGAACUCCGAGUGUAGAGGUGAAAUUCGUAGAUAUUCGGAAGAACACCAGUGGCGAAGGCGACAUACUGGUCCGUUACUGACGCUGAGGCUCGAAAGCGUGGGGAGCAAACAGGAUUAGAUACCCUGGUAGUCCACGCCGUAAACGAUGAGUGCUAGUUGUCGGCAUGCAUGCAUGUCGGUGACGCAGCUAA